CCAAUAGCGUAUAUUAAAGUUGUUGCAGUUAAAAAGCUCGUAGUUGAAUUUCGGGAUCAAUGGGUUGGUCAUGCCCUCGGUAUGUACUGAUUUCAUUGGUUCUCACCUUCUAAGGAACCAUGAUGUCAUUCGUUUGAUGUUGUGGGGAAUUAGGACUGUUACCUUGAAAAAUUUAGAGUGUUUAAAGCAGGCUAACGCUUGAAUACAUUAGCAUGGAAUAAUGAAAUAGGACAUCCGAUUCUAUUUUGUUGGUUUCUAGGAUCGAUGUAAUGAUUAAUAGGGAUAGUUGGGGGCAUUAGUAUUCAAUUGUCAGAGGUGAAAUUCUUGGAUUUAUUGAAGACUAACUACUGCGAAAGCAUUUGCCAAGGAUGUUUUCAUUAAUCAAGAACGAAAGUUAGGGGAUCGAAGACGAUCAGAUACCGUCGUAGUCUUAACCAUAAACUAUGCCGACUAGGGAUCGGAUGAUGCUUAUUUUUUAAUGACUCAUUCGGCACCUUACG
rnacentral:rRNA from 1 species